AUCGUUUCCGCUGCCAGCCGGUUCGGGUGCGUUGUUAUUCUUUCUCUGUACCUUCUUGCGCAUCUGCUAAUCUCUUCCUUGACCGUUGGUAUUCCAAGGUCUUUCCGAAUGUCCUCGUGUCUAACGUACCAUGGCGCGUUUGCUAUUGUUCUGAGUAUUUUAGAUUGCAUUGCCUCUAUUUUGGUUAUAUGGCUCAUUGCUGCUGUUCCCCAUAGUGCUAUUCCGUAUGUCCAGAUUAGUUUUAUGACCAUUUUAUAUAUUUUUAGUUUGUUUUCUAUGCUUAGUUUGGAUUUUCGACAUGUUAGCUAGUACAUUUGUCUCCUUGCCAUUUGUAUUUUGUCUAUUGUUGCUUUAAUAUGCUGUUUCCAUGUGAGUCGUGUAUCUAAGUAGAGUCCUAGGUAUUUGACUUGCCUUGUUUGUAUUAUGUGUGUGCCGUUUAGUACAAUGUUUGGUGGUUUCUAUUUUCGCAGUGUGAAUGUAAUGUGUUUGCAUUUAUCGGGGUUUGCUUUAAUUUGUUUUGCUUGAAGCCACUUUUUUAUUUUUGUGAUAUGUUCUUGUAGUAAUGUAACUGCUCGUGCCUGACUAGUACAGCUGUGUCAUCCGCGAAUAUCAGUAUUUUGCUAUUGUUAGUUGUUGGUAUGUUGGCCGUGUAUAAUGUGUAUAAAAUUGGUCCUAGGACGCUUCCUUGCGGAACUCCUGCCUUGAUUUCUUUAACUUCAGAGUAUGUGUCUUUGAUUUUUACUAUGAAGGUUCUGCUGCUUAAGUAUGAUUUGAUUAAUUGGUAUAUCUGCUCCGGAAACUGUU